AGGUGAUCCGAGAGCUCAAGAAGGCUCAUGGACCUGAAUCUGACAUUGAUUUACUUUGUCUUGGACCUUGUAUUGCAACACUGCAGUACCAUUUCUUUGUUGUUUUGAGACAAAUUCUUCAGGGCAGACCAGAAGUAUCAGAAGUACACACUGUUGAGAAGGCUAAGGUUCCCUUGAUG